GGGCGAGUGGCGAAAUUGGCAGACGCGCUAGACUUAGGAUCUAGUGGAGCGAUCCGUGGGGGUUCGAGUCCCUUCUCGCCCACCA
rnacentral:tRNA from 1 species